GGUUCACAAGGCAGCUCUGCGUUCUCUGCCGCCUUCUUUCUCACCACUGUCAUCUCUGUUCCUGUUUCCCGGUGUGCUGGGGACUCUCUGGUUUGCCCUCGGCAUCGUAGUUCUGUUUUCUGCGCCUGCAGUUCUGCCUUCGCUGCCUGUAAUGAGGUUUCGGUUUCGCUAUGGCGUUGUGAGCCUCUCUGACCAUCUUUCGUGGUCCUCUGCCAUGCUGCUCAAGCCAGAAACCCAAAUCACGCCCGAUGCCUUGCUGCUCCUUAUGCCUUCCUCUCGUCCAUCCACGGCUGAGGUUGCUUCAACCUCUAGAAUAUUUCUCUCAAGGUCAUUUUGUCUCCAUCUUUACUGUCAUCACUUCAGUUCACGGGGCCACCAUCUCACCCUUCUUUUUGCCGCCCCCCCCCAUUGCUCCUCCUAGUCUGUUCUCUAUGCUGUAGCUGGAGUUAUUGAUGUUUAUGCAGACAUUUAAACAUGUGUAUGUACAGUUGACCCUCAAACAACAUGGGUUUGAACUACGCAGGUCCACCUACACAUGGAUAUUCUUCUGCCUCUACCACCCCGGAGACCCCAAGACCCAGCCCUCCUUCUCCUCCUCCUCCUCCUUAAAUUUUCUCCAUAACAUUUCUUUUUCUUUGGCUUACUUUAUUGUAAGAAUACAGCAUAUAAUGCAUAUAACACACAAACUAUGAAGUAAUCAACUGUUUAUGUUAUCAGUAAGGCUUUCAAUCAACAGAGUACCUGAGGCUUUUGGUCAACAAGUUACAUUUAGGGAAGUCAAAAAUUAUGGGUGAAUUUUCAACUGCCGGGUGGGGGUUGGCACCUGUUCAAGGGUCAACUGUGUGCAUGUGUAUGUGUGUACAGAUGUAUACAUGUGCAUACACACACACAUAUACAUACUGAAUACACACACACUCACACUCUCAGUGGCUUUCUUUUGUACUAAGAAUUCAAAGCACUUUUCCCAGCUGUGAAGCUUCUGCAUGAGCUGACACUGCCUAUGUCCCCAAAUUCAGCUGUGCCAUUUACCAGGCACAUGGGUCUUUUUUCAGUUCUUCAGGCAUGUGGAGCUCUUUCUCACCUUAAAGCAAUUUGCUUCCUCUGCCAGGAAUAUACAUGACUUGCUUUCCAUAUCUGGCUCAGAUGAAAUACUACAGAAGCCUUUCCUGCCUAUUUUAUCUGAGUAGGUACUACCUGCCCCCAAUCAGCCCCUGGUUUGAUUCAUUACUAGCAAUUAUCAUUAUGAAUUAUUUAUUAGUGCAUUGUCUGUGAACCUCACCAAAGUGUAAGCUGCCUCAAAGGUGGCAUCUUGUCCAUUCUACCCAUGUCUGGAUUCUCCAGCCCAGCCCAGUGCGUGCCUCAUAAUGGGUUCUCUUUUUUUUUUUUUUUUGAGACAGAGUCUCGCUCUGUUGCCCAGGCUGGAGUGCAGUGGUGUGAUCUCGGCUCACUGCAAGCUCCAACUCCUGGGUUCAAGUGAUUCUUGUGUUCAGCCUCCCAAGUAGCUGGGACUACAGGCAUGUGCCACCGCGCCCAGCUAAUUUUUAUAUUUUUAGUAGAGACGGCAUUUCACCAUGUUGGCCAGGCUGGUCUCGAACUCCUGACCUCAAGUGAUCCACCUGCCUUGGCCCCCCAAAGUGCUGGGAUUACAGGUGUGAGCCACUGGGCCAGGCCUUCAUAAUGGGUUCUUAAUAAACAUUUGUUAAAAGCAUUGGUUCAUCACAUAUUAGUAAUUUUCAUCUUUACUUAUUCCUUAUGAUUUUUUGUUUGUUUAAUAUAGGUUAUACCUUUUGAUAUCCUAUAGAGGAGUCCAGCGUGUUGGAUCUCUUGGGUCCUCCUGUAGAUUAUUUUUAGAGUCUUCUAAAGUCUUCUAAAUCAUUGAGAUGAAGUCUCUUUCCUAUUUUCUGUAGCUUUACAAAAAACUACCUCCCAGACCCCGCCCCGCCCCAUAGAGUUUUUCCUCCCUUAUUUACUCAUCCUUAAAGGAAGUGACAUCUGUAGAGAGCCAGUGCUUGUUAAGAGCGAGGGUGAGCUCAUCAUCGAGGUCCGGUCCUCCUGUGUGGAGUCCUAUCCUGGUGCUCUCGGGGUAGGACAGGUGGGCAGUGCCUGCUCCCAGCCUGUUCCUGAUUCCUCACAGUUGCCUACGGAAGCUCUAUUUCCCCAAACUUCUAACUUUUCCUGCCUUAUCUGAUUGUUCUCUGGUAUUGUAUUCUGAGUCCAAGGAGGGCACGAGAAACUAGUUUCUAACAUGCUGCUAAGCGUGUUUCUUUCCUACUCUUCUCUUACUAAGACUGCUUUACUCGUGCGCAUUGUUUUUCCUAAAAUGCGAUGAGCCAGCAGCAGUUUCUUCUACUUUCCGCACAGGUGAUUUUUCUUUGCUUGCUUUUUAAGCUCCUUUCUCUGAAUGAAUAUAGAUUAAAAGAGGGAUGGGACGAGGGGUGGACAGCACUAAGGGUAACUGCAUAGCAGCAAGAAUGACUCACGUCUGUGUUGCUGGUAGUUUCUGAGUUCAGGUCCUGGGUGCUGGGAGGAGACAGCUGCCUGCAGAGUGAUCUUCAGGCUCGUGUGGAAAAACCGAUAAAAUAGAAAAAGCAAUCGGAAGAAUAUAAAAAUCACUGAUAAUCCCGCCACCUAGAGAAAACUACUGUUAGUAUUUUGAGUGUAUUUCCCUCCAGCUUUUUUCUAUAUAUGUGUAUGUAUUUAUAAUAUAUAAAUAAUAUACUAUAUAUUAAUCAAAUACUAUAUAUAAUAAAUACAUUAUAUAUCUUACAUAGAACACAUUUUAUUUAUUGUAUUAUAAACACAGUUUUGUGUCCUGUUUAUUUUUGUAAACGUUAUAUUGUAUAGUCCCUAGAUAUUACCAUUUGAAAACAUG
rnacentral:lncRNA from 10 species